rnacentral:lncRNA from 1 species
UAAAGCAGCCUCUUCUUAUUAUUCCUCAUUCUAUUCUUUAUAUUAUUCUCAGUAUUUUUUAGAGAACCUAACAACUUCUUUACUUAUCAAACCCCCAAAGUGCCUAAUACACUUUCCUGACUAGACAAGUGAAAUGCAUGGGCUUGGACAUAAGGCCCAACGCCUAAAUCAUUGUUUCCAUACCCACUUUCGUUUUCAUACCCCCUAGGCAGAGUUCUUUUAUUUCUUUUCCUUUAACCUUUGUCUUUUAUUUUUAUUUUUAGAAGUUUUUGUUUCCUUUUCUUUUUACUCUUAGAAAUUAAUCUUAGUUAUAUCAAUAUUUGGAAGGUUAAUUAGGAUUAGGGUUGUGAUCAUGACUAUAAUCUUGGUUACAUUUAUUUUAUUCAUGACUUUUAUUCUAAAUUAUAUUUCUUCAAAUUAUGAAUUUGUUGAACUCGUGGAUUAUUUUAUAAAUCUGGCAAGAUAUGAUAAUUGCCCAUCUCUUAUUUUAUUCAAUUAAUUUAAUUCAUUUAAGUGGUUAAGUCGUUAAAUUUAAUAUACUUAGAAUGUAAUCAUGUACACAAAACCCCCUCUUGGUGUUAUGUAAGAAAAGCUUGCGAUUAUCUUGAGGAUUCAUCCCUAAAAUGACAAGUUUACUUUCUUUUAUUUUUAUGUCCUAAAAUAAAAUCUUUUCACAACAAAAAAUGGAAGAAGAAGGAUUGGACCCUGAUGUAGAGCUCCAUGUUCAAAACUUUGUCU